rnacentral:tRNA from 1 species
AGUUUAUUAAACAUUAAAUUGCAAAUUUAAUAAAAUCAAAUGAUGGUGAACUG